rnacentral:lncRNA from 1 species
UAAUACAUGUAGAUACAAACCUCACAUUAGAAAUAAUAUGUUCCCAGCUCUGUAGACAAGGAAUGGAGGGAAGAUGUUAACUUGGUGAGCCCACAUGCUGGAGGAAAAGCAGGACAUUAGUAGGGGGGGGCAAAGGUGAUUAUUUUUCUGUUUGAGAAGAAAUAUUCUAGGGGUUAUCAGAGACUGAUCCCAGGUGACAAAGGAAGAAGGCAAUCUCUGAGCCUUGCUGGAUUCAUCUCUGAGUUUCAACACUCAGAUCUGUGUAUUGGCUCCAUACCCAUCUCUAGAUCCUGUGACUUCAGCUGAAGUGGUUAAGGUUUUCAACAAGAGCUUUGAUGGACACAGUACAGCUUAAUUUGAAGACACUUCUCUCAGCAAUAAUAACAUAGAUUUCUACUAUCAAGACCCAAAAACCCUGAUGGGCUAUAUAUACUACAGAGUUUUUAAUGAGUCAUUAGCAUUAUCAUUUAUUGCAACUAGAUGUCUGCUUGAGCUUGGAUCUUGAUAACCUAGAUCUACUUAACAGUGUUGAGUUUGGCUUUUGAAAUAAGUCUUAGAAUCCUUGUGUUCAAAAAGGCUUUAGAGCUAUUCUAAUCCCAAAAUGUUUCUUUCUCGGAAGUAGGAGAAAUCCCUGCAGCAGGGUUGAACAGCAAUAGCAGACUAUGGAGACUGCAAUGUUAUUUCUGUCUCUCCACCAAGCUGGUUAGACACCUAACAAAGCAAUUCCAGUGGUGGAACCAAGGAUCUACUCAAGCUCCUGGUAGAAAUGGAGCACCUCCUGCCCCUGGAUGCAGCAUUGAAACCACGGGCACACCAUGCUGCCUUCCUGACCACUCCUCCCCUCUCGCUGCAGCAGCAAGUUUUGCUCACUGAUCACCCUAUAUGCAAGCUUUUAGGAAGAAUUUUGUUCUUCUAGCAUGCAAUUGAAGAAGAAUCAAAAAACCUUUACAAAGACACUGCAAUGACUUUUUGAAGGUAAGUUUUGAUGAGCCUCUCAGUUUGUCAUUUCUUUUCUACAUACUUAGG